rnacentral:lncRNA from 1 species
GGACAUUGAUACAUACGAUGAUUUGGUUGGGGUGCAAGGAAAUGAAGAAAUAGAGAAUCUGGACUUAAAGUGCAAGCUGGGCUGUAUUCUCAGCAUAAUGCAAGGUAAUAACUCAAUUUGUAACUUUCUGAGUUUUGAGAAAUAUACUUUAAAGCAUAU